CCGUCUUCUCUCUCUCUUUCUGUGUUUGCAGUGUUUGUGUGUAUGGUGUGUAUGUAUGUUGUUGAAUGAAUGAGAGAGAGAGAGAGUGAGUGAGUGAGAGAAAGAAAGAAAGAGAAUGAGAGAAAUGAAAUCGUUGAAAGAAUGAGAGAGAGAGAGAGAGAGUGAGACUCACUGGGAAAUAAAUAGAGAGAGAGAGAGAGAGAGAGAGUGAGCGAGAGAGAGAGAGGGAAAAUAGAUGACUACAAUGGAGUAGCUGCUUUAAAAAUCAUUUGAUUAUAUAUACUAUUCUGCUCAAAAUCCAGUAUCCAACUAUUAAAAGUGAAGCGAGAGAAAACAAGCAGUUCCUGUUGUAAUGGGGGACCAACUCUGGUAAAUAAAUCCACCCCAAAUCUAGAGAAGGCCCUGAACAACUUACCUUUGGAUACCUCUGAUCUCAUCCCCUCUCACAUGUCUGAGAAUUUGUCUACCACAUCGUCU